UGAGUAACCUGCCCUUGACUCCGGAAUAACAGCUGGAAACAGCUGCUAAUACCGGAUAUGACCUCCGAUGGCAUCAUCUGGAGGUGGAAAGCUCCGGCGGUCAAGGAUGGGCUCGCGGCCUAUCAGCUUGUUGGUGAGGUAACGGCUCACCAAGGCUUCGACGGGUAGCCGGCCUGAGAGGGCGACCGGCCACACUGGGACUGAGACACGGCCCAGACUCCGUAGGA
rnacentral:rRNA from 1 species